rnacentral:rRNA from 1 species
UAUGUAGAAUUAGCCUUUGAGGAUCCGAGGCAGCUGCAGAGUUUGACCCUGGCUUAGAACGAACGUUGGAGGCGUGGACCAGGCAUGCAAGCUGAGCGCCCCAGCAAUCCGGAGGGCGCCCGGGCCAGUAAAGCAUCGGCACCCUACCCUGGGGACUGGGAUAGCCAUUCUACCGGAUGGGUAAGCCCGGGCGAAUUGAGCGGCCCGCAUGCCCGGCUUAAGAGAGUGAAGGCCACAGGAGGGCCUCAUGUCGUAUUAGCUAGUUGGUGGGGUACCGGCCCACCAAGCCGCCGAUGCGUAGGCCGUGUGAGAGCACGCCCCCCGUCACUGCCACUGAGCCACUGCCCAGCCUCCUCCGGGAGGCUGCAGUCGAGGACCUUCGGCAAUGGGGGAACCUACGAGCGACGCGGUGACGACGAAGGCUUCAGGUUGUAAGUCAAAGGACCAAGCAAGACUGACUGAGGUCUGUAGCACGGCUAGUUUGUGCAGCAGCCGCGCUAGACGAACGCGCAAAGUUUUUGGAAUACUCGCUAACGGGGAGGGUCGAGCUGGUAAGACCAGUACUUGAGGCCAGAGCGAUUGGGAGAGGGUUUGAACAGUGAGCGAAUGUGGUUGUGAUCGUGGAGGGAAGUGACUACUAGUGGGGAAGUAGGGUACGUUACAACCUAUCAGCUAACUGA